rnacentral:tRNA from 1 species
GCGGACGUGGCGGAAUUGGCAGACGCGCCAGAUUUAGGUUCUGGUACUACGGUGUGAAGGUUCGAGUCCUUUCGUCCGCACCA